UCAGUCGACUCCUACGGGGAGGCAGCAGUGGGGAAUAUUGCACAAUCGGGGGAAACCCUGAUGCAGCCAUGCCGCGUGUGUGAAGAAGGCCGUUCGGGUUGUAAAGCACUUUCAGUAGGGAGGAAGGUAGUGUAGUUAACACCUGCAUUAUUUGACGUUACCUACAGAAGAAGCACCGGCUAACUCCGUGCCAGCAGCCGCGGUAAUACGGGAGGGUGCGAGCGUUAAUCGGAAUUACUGGGCGUAAAGCGCAUGCAGGCGGCCUGUUAAGUCAGAUGUGAAAGCCCGGGGCUUAACCUCGGAAUUGCAUUUGAAACUGGCAGGCUAGAGUCUUGUAGAGGGGGGUAGGAAUUUCAGGUGUAGCGGUGAAAUGCGUAGAGAUCUGAAGGAAUACCAGUGGCGAAGGCGGCCCCCUGGACAAAGACUGACGCUCAGAUGCGAAAGCGUGGGGAGCAAACAGGAUUAGAUACCCUGGUAG
rnacentral:rRNA from 1 species